CAGUGGGGGGGCGGGAUCAGAUCGCCGCCAUUGUCAACGCAUCGCCUCGAUGAUCCGGGCCUAGUCUGGAAAAAGCUCUGCCCCUGGUGUACUGGUGGUUGGCAACAGCCUGGUACCAGUUAACAACGGCCAUCUCCUUGAUCGAUGUCUUUACUCUGUCCAGGUGUUGGCCUCUUGAUGUCAUCCAGAGAUAUCUGGUCUCGAGCCGAGAAGCCAGACGUGCUGGAAAGCACUCAGGUGAGCCCCUGACCGUCCCAUCCUCGUGCACACUCACUCUUCUUCCUGGUGCCCUCCGCCUCCGUAGGUCACGGCUGCCCGUGAGAAGUCCGGGUGUCGGG